rnacentral:rRNA from 1 species
UACAGAGGUCUCAAGCGUUGUUCGGAUUCAUUGGGCGUAAAGGGUGCGUAGGUGGCGCCGUAAGUCAGGUGUGAAAUUUCGGAGCUUAACUCCGAAACUGCAUUUGAUACUGCGGUGCUUGAGGACUGGAGAGGAGACUGGAAUUCACGGUGUAGCAGUGAAAUGCGUAGAUAUCGUGAGGAAGACCAGUGGCGAAGGCGGGCCUCUGGACAGUUCCUGACACUGAGGCACGAAGGCCAGGGGAGCAAACGGG